rnacentral:lncRNA from 10 species
CCAGAAUGAGAUACAGCCAAUUUGGCUUUGAUGACCCAGCUGAGAGGGAAAUUUAGAUACAAUUCAGGAAUAUCAUGCCCAAAAAUAGUGGUCCCAGCAACCAGGACACAGAGGGAAGACCUGGAUAUUGUCAGUGAUUGGUGGAGGGGGACAUCUUGGACCCUCCUAGGCCUGGUGUCACAUCUCCCAUCUCUCAGACCCCACAGAGGCCAAGGGGCCUUGGCUCUGACCCAGGUUAAAGAGAGCCACCAGCCCCCAGGCUCAGGGAGCUGAAACCACCCAUCCGCAGAAAUCUAAGGGCAAGGAGAAAUAGAAAUUGUCUGUUCCUUCCCUUCAAAGUGUAAGGCCUCUUCCAGGAGCAACUGGAGCCACCACAGCUUCUCAGUGACAUUGGGAGGGCUUCGGGCCCAGGAAAAACCCAAGCCUUUUGUCCUGAGAGCCGAGCCACAGCGGAUGCAGUGGCGUCAGCAUCCCAGAGCGGCAGCUUCUCUCCUGCCUGUCACUGGGGACUGGUUGCUCUCCACCCAUCCAGGAGGAAGGGGUUAGGUCCCAGUCUUACACUCUUAUAGGGUCUCAUGGACAUAGGCCUAUGCCUGUUCUGAUAUCUAUAAUUUUUUAAACUCAAAAGGACCAAAACACUCCUGAACCCUCAUCUAUACGGCCUGCACUGGGCUUGGUGUUUCCUCCUGGCCCAGGCAGCUCCAUCUCUUCUGCCAUUCCUCCUGGACGAAAGUGGCAGGACCCCACCUCUACCACUUCCCCACAGGGUCACUGCACAGCGGCUUCAAAGACACGCCCUGUUGAAGGGGAAACAUCCUCCCCCCAUCACACUCCAACUCGUCACCCCAAAAGGGAAGUCAAAGCACAGGUCCGUGGGGCCUAUGGUUUGUAGACACUGACACAGUGGUUUUCAAACCAGGUGCUGCGGAACCCCUGAUAUUCCACAGAGCUUUGUCAGGGGAUGCUAAAGUGGGAAGAUGGGAGUGGAGGCAAAGGAUAGGUUUCCAGCCCUCCUCCCAUUUCCGCCGCCACCAGAAUAACUCUGCUUUUAUCUGUCUUGCCUACUGAGAUUUCAUUUUCAAGCUUUCUUUGAAGAAGAACUUCAAACCACCAUCUCGAGGUUUGAUCUUAGACCAGCCAGCACAGGUUCUAUUCUUGCUGUUCAUGUUGGAAUGGCUCCAGCGUUCCAGUACAAAGUGUCUUUGUGUUGGAACUUGGGUCACAGACCCAGGCACAAGCAUUUAUACACACACACACACACACACACACACACACACACACACACGUACAUAGUUGAUGGUUUUUCUAGCCAACCCACCCUGAAGCUCUGGCCAAGGUUUGAUUUGGACAGGGACCUGGUGCUCAGUGGGGAUGGGUCGUGACCCUGAUAUUGGCCCAUGAAGCAUGGGGAGCUCUGGAGCAAGGAAACAGGCUCAAUCCCCCACUGAGGACUUGUGUCUGCACCCCUAUCUGGCACCCCACUUUCCUGGCCUAGGCCCAAGGGACACAGCAGGAGAAGCAGUGUGAUAGGAGAGAGGCUAGGGUUAAAUUCAUCUUUACACAGCGCCGGAUGGAUGGAAAUCUUGGCUCACAUAAAAGACAGACUCAGGGAGGAUUUUAUGACAAAAGUCCCUCCUUUGAGGGCAGGAUUCCCCCAGGAAUCCUGGACACUUUAGUGAGAACUGGACCAGCCCUUGGCACAAAACCCUGCCUGCCCUGUCCCCCACUCCCACCCCCCAGGGAAUUCUAGGUGAAAAUGUGAAGCUCAGGGCACAGCAAGCGCAUGACACGGGUGUAUUACAUUCGGUCCGAGUGUGUCCUUAGUUUCCCUGUGUGCAAAAUGGGGCUAGUCCAGGCUCUUCCCACCUCACUGGGACAAUUGCAAGGGUCAUAGGAGAGGUGGGUAUGAUAGGUGGUCAUAUGAGGUGGUGAGUAUGAGAGGUGGGUGCCUCACAAACUCGGGGUAUGGUCCUGACCUGCAUGGCAGAUGAGCAGAGCACUUGGGAACGAGCAUAGGAAGUGCCAUCUUCCCGGGCAUCUCUGCUCAGUGUUAAGGUCUAGCCACAGACACUGUGGGACCUGCCUCUUCCUAUGGAAUGGGGGCCUGCAUGGGUUGUGUCCUGGGGCAGGAGUGAGGGAUGGCUGGGAAGAAUCUCCAGGUCUGUGGCCCUUGUGUUGAGUGAUUAUUUUGUGACACUCUCAUUCCUGGACCACCUGCCAGGUUUAUCUGUUAUACCUGUGGCAUUCUUAUUAUGUCAGACAAGUUAUUAUAGUUCAUUCAACUCUAACAAAUGAACAAAAGAACAAUAAAUAGGAGGCCAUUAAAGGUCUUUUGUGG